rfam:Dipodomys ordii contig_4374, whole genome shotgun sequence.
GGGAAGGUAGCUCAGUGGUAGAGUGCUUGCCUUGCAUGCACGAGGCCCUGGGUUCGAUUCCUCAGCACCA